UGGAGCUUGUUCUUGAGGUCAGGUCUGAAGGUACAGAUGAACAUGAUCGGUAUGGAGAUGAUGCAGAUAAGGAGCAGUAGAGAGGGGCUGCUUACAUACAGGGCUGCAGAGAAUGAAAGUCUUUUACAUUGUCCAUGAGCAAAUAUUUAUUGAGUGUCAGCUGUGUAGGUACUGUGAAUACAAAGUGAACAAAAUAGACAUGGUUCCUGUGCUUGUUGAUCAUACAGUCUAAUGGGGCAGACAAAAGUAGAGACAAUUAAGUGAAUAAUGGAAGUUUUCAGAACAAAGAAUAAUGGGGAAAUGACAUUUCAGCUGAGACCCAGAGGUCAAAAAAGAUUUCAGUACAGAGGGUGGGGGCAAGAGGAUUCCAGGUAAAAAGAUGAUAUGGCCGCACCUGCGGCAUAUGGAGUUCCCAGGCUAGGGGUCGAAUCAGAGCUGCAGCUGCAGGCCUAGCCACAGCCAUAGCAAUGCCAGAUCUGAGCCAUGUCUGUGAUCUGCAACACAGCUCAUGGCAACACGGGAUCCUUCACCCACUGAGCAAGGCCAAGGCUCGAACCUGCAUCAUCAUGGAUGCCAGUCAGAUUCAUUUCCACUGAUCCACGAUGGGAACUCCAGGAAUGCGUAUUUUGGAGAGAGGGUGCUGUGGAGACCAGGUGAAGCAGGAGAGCUUUAGGGGAGAACUUAGGACACUGGGUGUUAGAUACAGAAGUUAGGGUAGAUUAUGUCAGAGAAGAAAGAAGCAUGAAGUCGUUUAGCAUGGGUUUAUCUGAGCCGUGAAGUGGAAAAACUUUUCUCUAGAGACUCAAAAUGGGAGUUAAAAACAGUAACUAGAUUCAGACUGGGCAGGAAGGUGAAAAUAGGAAGACAAGUCAAAGUUGAUUGGGGUCUAGUGACAUAGACUAGCGUAGUAAAAAUAGAAUUCCAGGAAAAAAAUUAUUGAGGACUUUAACCCUGAACCAAGCCAGCCGAAUAAUUUAUACUGUUCUCUCACCUCUGAAUAAUCUCUGCCCUUACAUACUACUGAGUUAUAAUGGAGUUUCAUUAUGAACACGAACCUUUUAUAUGCUACACUGUGCUAAACUAGGGAAAAAAGGAUUUCCACCAGAGAGAGAAAGAGGGGGAAGGUCUCCCCCUUUGUAUUUUUGUAUAGGUAGCAGCAGUGAACUUAAGGCAUAUGGUUAUGAAGUCUCAGCAAAAUUAUACAAAGCAGGGAGGGGUAAUUCUCCAAAAGGAAAUUAGUAUGGAUGCUAGGCAGCUAAAAAGAAAUGUCUCCUUUUCACUCUCAAAAAAGUUUCAUGAUUUUUAAAGAGAACCCUAAUAUACUGUUGGUGAGAAUGUAAACUGGUGCAGCCACUCUGGGAAACAGUAUGGGGAUUCCUCAAAGAUUUAAGAAUGGAACUAACAUAACAUCCAGCAGUACCCACUUCCAGGUAUUUAUCCAAAGAAUACCAAACCACUAAUCUGAAAAGAUAUAUGCACCCCUGUAUUCAUCACAGCAUUAUUUACAAUUGCCAAGAUACGAAAAUAACUGAAGUGCCCAUCAAUAGAUGAAUGAAUAAAGAUGUGGUAUAUAUACACAAUGUUAAAGGUGAAAUCUUGCCAUUUGCAAUAAUGUGGAUGGACCUUAAGGAUAUUGUGCUAAGUGAAAUAAAUCAGAGGAAGACUAAAUACCAUAUGAUUUCACUCAUAUGUGGAAUCUAAAAAACAAACAAACAGGAACCCAAAAUAAAUUAAACCAAACCAAACGUGUUGAUACAGAGAACAGAGUAGUGGCUUCCAGAGGGGAAGAGGCAGAGGGAAGGAGAAAUGAAUAAAGGGUAUCAACAGUUUGGUGACAAGUGGAAUCUAAAUUUUUGGUAGUGACCACCCUUGUAGGGUAUAUAGAAGUAGAAACAUAAUGUACAUAUGUAAUUAAUAUAAUGUUACCAACUAAUGCUACCUCAAUUAAAAGAAUUUCAUAGUUCUUCACAUUGUGGUACUUUACUUGUGUAAGACUAAUGGUAGCUAGAAAUUAUUAAGUGCUUUGCUCAGUACAGUUUAUACUGUGUCUGAUUUCAUCCCUUUACAUGCUGCAUCUUUAAUCAUCACAGCAAUCUUGUGAGUAAUCACUUGUGUAAACUUACCCAGUAAUAGGUGUGAGAACCAGGCGCAGAUUCAGGUGGUGUGUGCUGCACUGCCUCUGUGCUGUUUAAAAAAUUAUCAUGAAUUAGUUAAUGCUUUUAAAUAAAAUUGGAUUUUAUUAAUUUUAAUGGAUGUGCAUAUUUUUAAAUGGUAGUACCAUGUAUCCCUCUCUUUCUCUCUCUCUCUCUCUCUCUCUCUCGUGCGUGCGUACACGCACACGCACACACACACAUACAUUAUGUAAUUUAUUCAGAAAUGUUAGUGAGGCAGUUCCUCACUUUCCCAAGGCUUCUUGGCCGUAACUGAGGAAUCACUGGCUCUCCUUGUAUUGAUGUGCGGUUCUCUCCUGAUCGUGGCAUUUCUUCUCCCCACUGUGUGACAGUCAGUAGUGGUCCUGAGUAAUCUAAGGCAGUCACUGUAGCGUGCCCCCCCCCCCCCCAGGGAUAGAUUCAGAAAUAGGCAUGUUACCAUUCUAGGCUGAGGAAAGUUUGCAGAAGCUUCUGGGGAAGACUUUUUUCUUUGUCCAAGACAUGGGUAAGAGGCAAUCUUGUCAAAUCCAACAAGGAAACCUGCCCUAGAGGGUGGCUGAGGGAAUUGCAAAGGGAUGGAGCUAGGUUAAGCCAACCCUAAAUUCCACCCUACCCCUGAAAUAACACUUCUGUGAGCCAGUGAAUUUUCCUCACGUUUAAGCAGUUUGAGGUGUGAUUUCUGUUCACUUGGCUAGUGAUAUCUCAGCAGAUGUCAUAAUGCAGAAUUGCAAUUGGAACAGAUUCCUUCUGCUGGAUGUUCAAAGUAAAAUUAUCAAGAUUCUGUUAAAUAGGCUAGUACCCUAGCCUAGCAAGGUAGAAAUUGCAUGAAUUAGAGUCAGAGGACCUGGGUUGUAAUUUCUACUUUGCCACUAGCUACAUAUAUCACAUACCUAAAUUUCCCUGUCAGCAAUAACAGGGAGGUUGCCCUGAAUAAGCUGUAAUGUACUUUUCAUCUCAUAUCCUCUUAAUAUUGGAACCCAUGAAAAAUGUCUUGUUAAACUUAAUUAGGAAUUAAGGAGAUGUUUUUUGAAAAACAGAGAGCCAUCUCAGGUUUUUAUUAUAAUGUAGUAGCCCCAAGGUACUCUGUUUCUUCAACUUCUCUGUAAGUAGCCCUGAUAAAAUUAUUUGAACAGAGGUUUAAAAAUUGCAUUCCCUGCCCCUAUCGCCAUGGGCUUAAAACCAGCACUUUAAAUAAACGGUUAUGAUUCUUCAGAUUGUUCAUCAUCUGUUUCUUUAACAUUUUACUGUGGAAACUUUCAAAUAUAUAUAGCAGUGGAAUAGUAUAGUAAAUCCCUGUAUAUUCAUCUUAUUCAUCUUCUCACCUCAGUAAUUAUCAAUAUUUUGAAUUUUUUUUAAUUUGUGCCUUUUUUGCUUUUUAGGGCCACACCCAAGGCAUAUGGAGGUUCCCAGGCCAGGGGUUGAAUUGGAACUACAGCUGCCGGCCUACACCACAACAACGCCAGAUCUGAGCUGCGCCUGUGAUCUGUACCACAGCUCACGGUAAUGCCUGAUCCUUAACCCACUGAUCAAGGCCAAGGAUUGAACCCACAACCUCAUGGUUCCUAAUUGUAUUCACUUCCACUGCUCCACAGCAGGAACUCCAAUAUUUUGACAGUUUUGAAACCCAUAGCUCUUAAGUGCUUAUAGUUGGCUCUUCUAGCAGAGACUUUUUUCUCCAGCUAAACUUUGGAGCUAAAUUAGGUCUCCUUAACUUUAAGGUUUCAGUUGUCUGCAUAUAUUUAUUUAAUGCUGUAGUUUUUAGAUCAAAAAAGUUAUAAUGGAGUUCCCAUGCGAGCCUGGCUAGUAUCCUGGG
ensembl:lncRNA